rnacentral:rRNA from 1 species
UACGUAGGGUGCAAGCGUUGUCCGGAAUUAUUGGGCGUAAAGAGCUCGUAGGCGGUUUGUCGCGUCUGCUGUGAAAGUUCGGGGCUCAACCCCGGAACUGCAGUGGGAACGGGCAGACUCGAGGGCGGUAGAGGAGGGUGGAAUUCCCGGUGUAGCGGUGGAAUGCGCAGAUAUCAGGAGGAACACCAGUGGCGAAGGCGGGCACCUGGGCGGUGACUGACGCUGAGACGCGAAAGCGUGGGGAGCAAACAGG